rnacentral:lncRNA from 1 species
AUUAUCUUGAAUAUUAUUAUAGAUAGAGAUAAACUGUAAACAGCAAUAAUGUUCAGCAAAGUAAGAUUUACAAAUUAUUCAACAUGACCGAAAUGGUCAGUUGACCCCUUUAGGAGUUAUUGACCUUUAUAGUCAAUUUUUAACCUUUUUUCGUAAAUCUUAGUAAUCUUUUACAAAAAUCUUCUCCUCUGAAACUACUGGGCCAAAUUAAUCCAAACUUGGCCACAAUCAUCUUUGGGGUAUUUAGUUUAAAAAAUGUGUGGCGUGACCUGGCCAACCAACCAAGAUGGCCGCCAUUGCUAAAAAUAGAACAUAG